UACGUAGGGACCGAGCGUUUGUCCGGAAUUAUUGGGCGUAAAGAGCUUGUAGGCGGUUUGUCGCGUCUGCUGUGAAAAUCCGGGGCUCAACCCCGGACUUGCAGUGGGUACGGGCAGACUAGAGUGUGGUAGGGGAGACUGGAAUUCCUGGUGUAGCGGUGAAAUGCGCAGAUAUCAGGAGGAACACCGAUGGCGAAGGCAGGUCUCUGGGCCACUACUGACGCUGAGAAGCGAAAGCAUGGGGAGCGAACAGG
rnacentral:rRNA from 1 species